rnacentral:rRNA from 1 species
UACGAAGGGGGCUAGCGUUGCUCGGAAUCACUGGGCGUAAAGCGCACGUAGGCGGAUUGUUAAGUCAGGGGUGAAAUCCUGGAGCUCAACUCCAGAACUGCCUUUGAUACUGGCGAUCUUGAGUCCGGGAGAGGUGAGUGGAACUGCGAGUGUAGAGGUGAAAUUCGUAGAUAUUUGCAAGAACACCAGUGGCGAAGGCGGCUCACUGGCCCGGUACUGACGCUGAGGUGCGAAAGCGUGGGGAGCAAACAGG